UACGUAGGGGGCAGGCGUUGUCCGGAUUUAUUGGGCGUAAAGAGCGUGUAGGCGGCUUUACAGGUCUGUUGUGAAAACUCGAGGCUCAACCUCGAGACGCCGGUGGAAACCGUAAAGCUAGAGUCCGGAAGAGGAGAGUGGAAUUCCUGGUGUAGCGGUGAAAUGCGCAGAUAUCAGGAGGAACACCCGUGGCGAAAGCGGCUCUCUGGGGCGGUACUGACGCUGAGACGCGAAAGCGUGGGGAGCAAACAGG
rnacentral:rRNA from 1 species